rnacentral:rRNA from 1 species
UACGGGGGGGGCAAGCGUUGUUCGGAAUUACUGGGCGUAAAGGGUUCGUAGGUGGCUCGCUAAGUCAGACGUGAAAUCCCUCAGCUUAACUGGGGAACUGCGUCUGAUACUGGAUGGCUUGAGUUUGGGAGAGGGAUGCGGAAUUCCAGGUGAGCGGUGAAAUGGCGUAGAUAUCUGGAGGAACACCGGUGGCGAAGGCGGCAUCCUGGACCAACACUGACGCUGAGUGAGCGAAAGCCAGGGGAGCAAAGCGGG